ACGAACGCUGGCGGCAUGCCUAACACAUGCAAGUCGCACGAGACCUUCGGGUCUAGUGGCGCACGGGUGCGUCACGCGUGGGAACCUGCCCUUAGGUUCGGAAUAACUCCCCGAAAGGGGUGCUAAUACCGGAUAAUGUCUUCGGACCAAAGAUUUAUCGCCUUUGGAUGGGCCCGCGUUGGAUUAGCUAGUUGGUAGGGUAAAAGCCUACCAAGGCGACGAUCCAUAGCUGGUCUGAGAGGAUGAUCAGCCACACUGGGACUGAGACACGGCCCAGACUCCUACGGGAGGCAGCAGUGGGGAAUAUUGGACAAUGGGCGAAAGCCUGAUCCAGCAAUGCCGUGUGAGUGAUGAAGGCCUUAGGGUUGUAAAGCUCUUUUACCCGGGAUGAUAAUGACAGUACCGGGAGAAUAAGCUCCGGCUAACUCCGUG
rnacentral:rRNA from 1 species